AUUGAACACUGGCGGCAGGCCUAACACAUGCAAGUCGAACGAGUGGCGGAUGGGCGAGUAAUGUCUGGGAAACUGCCUGAUGGAGGGGUAUAACUAUUGGAAACGGUAGCUAAUACCGCAUACCAUCAGAUCUGCCCAGAUGGGAUUAGCGUGUUGGGGGGGUAACGGCUAACCAAGGCGACGAUCCCUAGCUGGUCUGAGAGGAUGACCAGCACCACUGGAACUGAGACACGGUCCAGACUCCUACGGGAGGCAGCAGUGGGGUAUAUUGCACAAUGGGCGCAAGCCUGAUGCAGCCAUGCCGCGUGUAUGAAGAAGGCCUUCGGGUUGUAAAGUACUGUCAGCGGGGAGGCGUUACCCGCAGAAGAAGCACCGGCUAACUCCGUGCCAGCAGCCGCGGUAAUAC
rnacentral:rRNA from 1 species